rnacentral:rRNA from 1 species
AGUGAACGCUGGCGGUAGGCCUAACACAUGCAAGUCGAACGGCAGCACAGUAAGAGCUUGCUCUUACGGGUGGCGAGUGGCGGACGGGUGAGGAAUACAUCGGAAUCUACUUUUUCGUGGGGGAUAACGUAGGGAAACUUACGCUAAUACCGCAUACGACCUACGGGUGAAAGCAGGGGAUCUUCGGACCUUGCGCGAUUGAAUGAGCCGAUGUCGGAUUAGCUAGUUGGCGGGGUAAAGGCCCACCAAGGCGACGAUCCGUAGCUGGCCUGAGAGGAUGAUCAGCCACACUGGAACUGAGACACGGUCCAGACUCCUACGGGAGGCAGCAGUGGGGAAUAUUGGACAAUGGGCGCAAGCCGGAUCCAGCCAUACCGCGUGGGUGAAGAAGGCCUUCGGGUUGUAAAGCCCCUUUGUUGGGAAAGAAAAGCAGCAGGUUAAUACCCCGCUGUUCUGACGGUACCAAAAGAAUAAGCACCGGCUAACUUCGUG